rnacentral:rRNA from 1 species
AUUGAACGCUGGCGGCAUGCCUUACACAUGCAAGUCGAACGGCAGCACGGGAGCUUGCUCCUGGUGGCGAGUGGCGAACGGGUGAGUAAUAUAUCGGAACGUACCCUAGAGUGGGGGAUAACGCAGCGAAAGUUGCGCUAAUACCGCAUACGAUCUACGGAUGAAAGUGGGGGAUCGCAAGACCUCAUGCUCAUGGAGCGGCCGAUAUCUGAUUAGCUAGUUGGUGGGGUAAAGGCCUACCAAGGCAUCGAUCAGUAGCUGGUCUGAGAGGACGACCAGCCACACUGGAACUGAGACACGGUCCAG